rnacentral:lncRNA from 10 species
GGAGUUCGAGAGUGGCCUGGCCAACAUGGCGAAACCUCAUCUCUGUUAAAAAUACAAAAAUUACCCCGGCAUGGUGGCAUGUGCAUGCAGUCCCAACUACUCGGGAGGCUGAGGCAUGAGAAUUGCUUGAGCCUGGGAGGCAGAGGUUGCAGUGAGCUGAGAUCAUGCCGCUGUACUCCAGCAUGGGCGACAGAGCAAGACCCUGUCUCAAACAAAACAAAACAAAACAAAAAAAACCCCUCCUCAUUGUUUCUGUCAAUGUUUUGCAGAGCAGACUCAUUU